rnacentral:rRNA from 1 species
GACGAACGCUGGCGGCGUGCUUAACACAUGCAAGUCGAACGGAAAGGCCCUUCGGGGUACUCGAGUGGCGAACGGGUAAGUAACACGUGGGUGAUCUGCCCUGCACUUUGGGAUAAGCCUGGGAAACUGGGUCUAAUACCGAAUAGGACCGCGCUCUUCAUGGGGUGUGGUGGAAAGCUUUUGCGGUGUGGGAUGGGCCCGCGGCCUAUCAGCUUGUUGGUGGGGUAAUGGCCUACCAAGGCGACGACGGGUAGCCGGCCUGAGAGGGUGACCGGCCACACUGGGACUGAGAUACGGCCCAGACUCCUACGGGAGGCAGCAGUGGGGAAUAUUGCACAAUGGGCGCAAGCCUGAUGCAGCGACGCCGCGUGAGGGAUGACGGCCUUCGGGUUGUAAACCUCUUUCAGUACCGACGAAGCGCAAGUGACGGUAGGUACAGAAGAAGGACCGGCCAACUACGUGCCAGCAGCCGCGGUAAUACGUAGGGUCCGAGCGUUGUCCGGAAUUACUGGGCGUAAAGAGCUCGUAGGUGGUUUGUCGCGUUGUUCGUGAAAACUCACAGCUUAACUGUGGGCGUGCGGGCGAUACGGGCAGACUAGAGUACUGCAGGGGAGACUGGAAUUCCUGGUGUAGCGGUGGAAUGCGCAGAUAUCAGGAGGAACACCGGUGGCGAAGGCGGGUCUCUGGGCAGUAACUGACGCUGAGGAGCGAAAGCGUGGGGAGCGAACAGGAUUAGAUACCCUGGUAGUCCACGCCGUAAACGGUGGGUACUAGGUGUGGGUUUCCUUCCUUGGGAUCCGUGCCGUAGCUAACGCAUUAAGUACCCCGCCUGGGGAGUACGGCCGCAAGGCUAAAACUCAAAGGAAUUGACGGGGGCCCGCACAAGCGGCGGAGCAUGUGGAUUAAUUCGAUGCAACGCGAAGAACCUUACCUGGGUUUGACAUGCACAGGACGUGCCUAGAGAUAGGUAUUCCCUUGUGGCCUGUGUGCAGGUGGUGCAUGGCUGUCGUCAGCUCGUGUCGUGAGAUGUUGGGUUAAGUCCCGCAACGAGCGCAACCCUUGUCUCAUGUUGCCAGCACGUUAUGGUGGGGACUCGUGAGAGACUGCCGGGGUCAACUCGGAGGAAGGUGGGGAUGACGUCAAGUCAUCAUGCCCCUUAUGUCCAGGGCUUCACACAUGCUACAAUGGCCGGUACAAAGGGCUGCGAUGCCGUAAGGUGGAGCGAAUCCUUUCAAAGCCGGUCUCAGUUCGGAUCGGGGUCUGCAACUCGACCCCGUGAAGUCGGAGUCGCUAGUAAUCGCAGAUCAGCAACGCUGCGGUGAAUACGUUCCCGGGCCU